rnacentral:rRNA from 1 species
AUUGAACGCUGGCGGAAUGCUUUACACAUGCAAGUCGAACGGUAGAGGGGGCAACCCCUUGAGAGUGGCGAACGGGUGAGUAAUAUAUCGGAACGUGCCCAGUCGUGGGGAUAACGUAGCGAAAGUUACGCUAAUACCGCAUACGAUCUACGGAUGAAAGCGGGGGACUCGCAAGACCUCGCGCGAUUGGAGCGGCCGAUAUCAGAUUAGGUAGUUGGUGAGGUAAAGGCUCACCAAGCCGACGAUCUGUAGCUGGUCUGAGAGGACGAUCAGCCACAUUGGGACUGAGACACGGCCCAAACUCCUACGGGAGGCAGCAGUGGGGAAUAUUGGGACAAUGGGCGCAAGCCUGAUCCAGCCAUGCCGCGUGAGUGAUGAAGGCCUUAGGGUUGUAAAGCUCUUUUUGUCCCGGGUAAGAUAAUGACUGUACCGGAAGAAUAAGCCCCGGCUAACUUCGUGCCAGCAGCCGCGGUAAUGU